rnacentral:rRNA from 1 species
ACUCCUACGGGAGGCAGCAGUGGGGAAUAUUGCACAAUGGGCGCAAGCCUGAUGCAGCCAUGCCGCGUGUAUGAAGAAGGCCUUCGGGUUGUAAAGUACUUUCAGCGGGGAGGAAGGCGAUAAGGUUAAUAACCUUGUUGAUUGACGUUACCCGCAGAAGAAGCACCGGCUAACUCCGUGCCAGCAGCCGCGGUAAUACGGAGGGUGCAAGCGUUAAUCGGAAUUACUGGGCGUAAAGCGCACGCAGGCGGUCUGUCAAGUCCGAUGUGAAAUCCCCGGGCUCAACCUGGGAACUGCAUUCGAAACUGGCAGGCUAGAGUCUUGUAGAGGGGGGUAGAAUUCCAGGUGUAGCGGUGAAAUGCGUAGAGAUCUGGAGGAAUACCGGUGGCGAAGGCGGCCCCCUGGACAAAGACUGACGCUCAGGUGCGAAAGCGUGGGGAGCAAACAGGAUUAGAAACCCUGGUAGUCCCA